AAAACGCACCUAUCUACGUAAACCUUCUGGAGCUCAUUACUACGUUAUAUUUUUGAAGAUCAUGUUGUUCCUAACCGAUAGUAGGCAAUAGUCUAACCCAAACACUAUCUUAAUCCACUAUCUUAAUAAAACUUUGAAAAAUUAACGUGAUAUUAUAAAAAAUAAACUCAAAUUUUGCUGACGUUUGUGAAAUUUUUACUUGUCAGCCGCGCAUCGGUACCACGUUUUUCUUCAAUAAUCUGAAAUUUUAAAUCCGCCAAUAGGACUUCUUUUUCCCGUAAAACACUAAGGCCAUCUAUUCGCAUCAUCAGUAAAACCUAUUUCAGUGAGGGUUCGAUUCGUAAAACCUGUUAUUCUGUGGAUUUGGCUAUAUCAGUUCGGGAUGCCUGGUUGUAUCCCUUAAUCCCUUAAAAUCAACAAAAAUGGUGAUUCAAGUAAAAAAAAAUUCAUAGUGUACGGUCAUCAGGGCACUCAGAAGUCAGAGGAAUCGUUUGGUGUAAGUUUCAGCUUGAAAAUCCAGAAGUAGUUAAAGUAAAAAAUUACCAAGUUAUACUUUAUGUUUUAUUACGUGGUAAAGUUAACAACACACGUUAACAUACCCUUUAUAAACGUUUAAACACCCUUUUUCAUGAAAAGGUUGACAUGAGAAGUGCAUUUUUCAAUAAAUCUCACUGAAAUUUAUGUCGUUGACUCAAGGUAGAUUUGUCUGUCCUUAAACAUGUUCAAUAAUAAUUAAUAGCGCUCUAGAAGAGCAGGAAAGCACACAAAAAACAUUAAAGUUAAAAUUUAACACUUCAGAAGAGAGCAUAAUACACCCUAACCCUACUUUCUGAACUUUUGUCCUUAUCUGGCAAUAGCACAUAAUAAAGGUAGAGAUUUCGACCCUAAAUAUCCUAUCAUAACGCUCUGAAAGGGCAGAGAUGGAGACAAAAUUCAUAAAAGUGUAAAUUUUGUCAUUUUCGGGUGACAACAUAACCCUACUUUUGGAACCUACCGAAUUUUCAUCAAAACGAAACAAACAAACAAUGUGGCUAUACGCAUUGCGAUACCACUAAUUUUCGCACCAAAAUUUCACAUUGCCAGUUUCUGUUUAAAUAAAAACAUGCAUUUUUAUUUUUCCAUUGACUGCAUGCGAAACUUUUAUAAUUUUAGACGUUUAUAGGCAAAUACAUUUGUCAUUAUUAAUUUUUUUAGAUCAAUGCUGUUCUAUUUUGAAUAAUUCUGUGUAUGAAUGUUUCUAAAUUUGACGGAUUUUACCAGUGAAUAUUUCUGGUAAUGACCUGUUUUAUACUUGUGACGUCACAUCCGUGACGUGUCCCGAGGUUAGGUGUGCGGCGCAGGCGGCGAGAGCGCUUCAGUCAGGGUGGUGAAACCUAAAUGCACCAAGCCAAGUAUAGGCGCCAAAUUCAAAAUCGACUGUAGUUCGGCUUGCUAUCGCAGAUGUCGCACACACGUAUAGUCAAUUUUAGCGAAGCUACCUAUAAUAUCGGCAGAAAUUAACAGUGGACCUGUGACAGUUGCCAUUGUGUAAAUCGCCAUUUUGUGCUUGGUUUGUUUGGUGUUCGCCUUCGGCUUUGUUUUAUGUGAAAUUAGUACUGUUUUGUGGUUUUUUUCGUGUGUGUGCUUUUUUGAACUUUUUUAUUGUGGGAAUAUAAAUAAUUUGAUGGAUCAAUCAUUAGUUUAUAGUUAUCGUAUCGUGUAUAUUGACUAGUGAUAAUAAAUUUUUAUUACAA